rnacentral:rRNA from 1 species
CCUACGGGUGGCAGCAGUGGGGGAUAUUGCACAAUGGGGGGAACCCUGAUGCAGCGACGCCGCGUGGGUGAAGAAGCGCCUCGGCGCGUAAAGCUCUGUCAGCAGGGAAGAAAAUGCAGGUACCUGAGGAAUCAGCCCCGUCCAACUACGUGACAGCAGCCGCGGUAAUACGGAGGGGGCAAGCGUUAUCCGGAUUUACUGGGUGUAAAGGGGGCGCAGACGGUGAGGUAAGCCAGGAGUGAAAGCCCGGGGCCCAACCCCGGGACUGCACUUGGAACUGGGUGGCUGGAGUGCAGGAGAGGCAGGCGGAAUUCCUGGUGUAGCGGUGAAAGGCGUAGAUAUCAGGAGGAACACCGAUGGCGAAGGCAGCCUGCUGGACUGCAACUGACGUUGAGGCUCGAAAGCGUGGGGAGCAAACAGGAUUAGAUACCCCGGUAGUC